AUACGGAGGGGACAAGCGUUAUUCGGAAUCACUGGGCGUAAAGGACGCGUAGGCGGGUUAUUAAGUCGGGUGUGAAAUCCAAUGGCUCAACCAUUGAACUGCAUUCGAAACUGGUAACCUAGAGUAUGGAAGGGGCAGGUGGAAUUAGUGGUGUAGGGGUAAAAUCCGUAGAUAUCACUAGGAAUACCGAAAGCGAAGGCGACCUGCUGGGACAUUACUGACGCUGAGGCGUGAAAGCGUGGGGAGCAAACAGGAUUAGAAACCCUAGUAGUCC
rnacentral:rRNA from 1 species